GCAAGUCGAGGGGUAACAGGGGAGCUUGCUUCUGCUGACGACCGGCGCACGGGUGCGUAACGCGUAUGCAACCUACCUUAUACUGGAGAAUAGCCCAGAGAAAUUUGGAUUAAUACUCCAUAGUAUUAUUUAGUGGCAUCACUAGAUACUUAAAGUUCCGGCGGUAUAAGAUGGGCAUGCGUGAUAUUAGCUAGUUGGUAAGGUAACGGCUUACCAAGGCAACGAUAUCUAGGGGUUCUGAGAGGAAGAUC
rnacentral:rRNA from 1 species